ACUUAUCUAUUCAUUAAUUCACACCUCUUUCUUAUUUUUUUCUUAGUUUUCUGUUUCCCACAUAAACAUGAAUACUAAGGCAAUCAACGAGUAUCCAACAAGGCAAGCAUAUCAUUAUAUUCACAAAGUCUGGCCGGAAUGAAGUAAGCAAUGAUUCAUGCAUUUAAAAACUAUAUAAUAAUUAAAUCAGAUACCAUACUGCAUUUAUACUGUAAAAUAAAUCAAACAGGAGCUGAUAGAGAAAUAUGUCCGGUUCGGGCUCCAUUAGCAAUCGUAAUAAAUUAUACAUAUCUAUUUAAUUUAUACAAAUACAGUUUUAUCAUUUAUUAAACUUU
rnacentral:lncRNA from 1 species